rnacentral:misc_RNA from 1 species
AGGGCUUGACAUGCAGGGUAAACCCGUGUUUCCACGGCUGUCACUGCCAUGUCAAGCCCAGGUAAGGUUCUUCGCGUUGCGUCGAAUUAAACCACAUGCUCCGCUGCUUGUGCGGGCCCCCGUCAAUUCCUUUGAGUUUUAGCCUUGCGGCCGUACUCCCCAGGCGGGGCACUUAAUGCGUUAGCUUCGGCACGGGCGGAGUCGACACCGCCCACACCUAGCACCCAUCGUUUACGGCGUGGACUAC